CCUUGGGAGGCUGAGAUGGGAGGAUCACUUGAACUCAGGAGGCUGAGGCUGCAGUGAGCUGUGAUGGUGCCACUACCCCCCAGCCUGAGUGUCAGAGCAGGAUCCUGUCUCUCAAAAAUGAAAGAAGUC